rnacentral:rRNA from 1 species
AUUGAACGCUGGCGGCAGGCCUAACACAUGCAAGUCGAGCGGAUGAAGGGAGCUUGCUCCUGGAUUCAGCGGCGGACGGGUGAGUAAUGCCUAGGAAUCUGCCUGGUAGUGGGGGAUAACGUCCGGAAACGGGGGCUAAUACCGCAUACGUCCUGAGGGAGAAAGUGGGGGAUCUUCGGACCUCACGCUAUCAGAUGAGCCUAGGUCGGAUUAGCUAGUUGGUGGGGUAAAGGCCUACCAAGGCGACGAUCCGUAACUGGUCUGAGAGGAUGAUCAGUCACACUGGAACUGAGACACGGUCCAGACUCCUACGGGAGGCAGCAGUGGGGAAUAUUGGACAAUGGGCGAAAGCCUGAUCCAGCCAUGCCGCGUGUGUGAAGAAGGUCUUCGGAUUGUAAAGCACUUUAAGUUGGGAGGAAGGGCAGUAAGUUAAUACCUUGCUGUUUUGACGUUACCCACAGAAUAAGCACCGGCUAACUUCGUG